rnacentral:rRNA from 1 species
GACGAACGCUGGCGGCGUGCUUAACACAUGCAAGUCGAACGGGAAGUCCUCUUUCGUGGGGUACUCGAGUGGCGAACGGGUGAGUAACACGGGAGUAACCUGCCAUUAACGUUGGGAUAACUGCAGGAAACUUGGGCGAAUACCGGAUAGGGGCUCCUACGUCGUGGAGGGGGGUGGAAAGUGUGGGCGGUUGGGGAUGGGCUCACGGCAUAUCAGCUUGUUGUUGGGGUAGUGAGUUACCAAGGCGUUGACGGUGAGCCGGCGUGCGAGGGGGAGCGGCCACCAUGGGGCUGAGGAGCGGCCCAGACUCCUACGGGAGGGAGCAGUGGGGAAUAUUGCUCAAUGGGUGGAAGCCUGAUGCAGCAGCGCCGUGUGCGGGAUGACGGACUUCGCGUUGUAAUCCGCAUUCGCUCAUGCCGAAGCUUUGUGUGACGGUAGUGGGUAAAGAAGCACCGGCUAACUCCGUG